rnacentral:rRNA from 1 species
AUUGAACGCUGGCGGCAGGCUUAACACAUGCAAGUCGAGCGGAGAUGAGGUGCUUGCACCUUAUCUUAGCGGCGGACGGGUGAGUAAUGCUUAGGAAUCUGCCUAUUAGUGGGGGACAACAUUCCGAAAGGAAUGCUAAUACCGCAUACGUCCUACGGGAGAAAGCAGGGGAUCUUCGGACCUUGCGCUAAUAGAUGAGCCUAAGUCGGAUUAGCUAGUUGGUGGGGUAAAGGCCUAUCAAGGCGACGAUCUGUAGCGGGUCUGAGAGGAUGAUCCGCCACACUGGGACUGAGGCACGGCCCAGACUCCUACGGGAGGCAGCAGUGGGGAAUAUUGGACAAUGGGGGGAACCCUGAUCCAGCCAUGCCGCGUGUGUGAAGAAGGCCUUAUGGUUGUAAAGCACUUUAAGCGAGGAGGAGGCUACUGAGACUAAUACUCUUGGAUAGUGGACGUUACUCGCAGAAUAAGCACCGGCUAACUCUGUGCCAGCAGCCGCCGUAACAC